rnacentral:rRNA from 1 species
GACAGAGGGUGCUAGCGUUGUUCGGAAUUACUGGGCGUAAAGGGCGCGUAGGCGGUCUGUUAAGUUCGGUGUGAAAUCCCCUGGCUCAACUGGGGAACCGCGCUGAAAACUAGCGGACUCGAGUACCGGAGAGGAGAGUGGAAUUCCUGGUGUAGCGGUGAAAUGCGUAGAUAUCAGGAGGAACACCGGUGGCGAAGGCGGCUCUCUGGACGGAUACUGACGCUGAGGCGCGAAAGCGUGGGGAUCAAACAGG